CGUCUAUAUACGUAUAGCAUAUCAAUAAGCGGAGGAAAAGAAACUAACUAGGAUUCCCUUAGUAACGGCGAGUGAAGCGGGAAGAGCUCAAAUUUGAAAUCUUCAAGGUUUUACCUUGACGAAUUGUAGUUUAGAGAAGUGUUUUCUGUUGGUGUUUUGGUAAAAGUUCUUUGGAAAUAGGACAUCAUAGAGGGUGAGAAUCCCGUAUUUGACCAUUACUUCCAGCUUUGUGAUACACUUUCAAAGAGUCGGAUUGUUUGGGAAUGCAGUCCAAAAUGGGUGGUAAAUUUCAUCUAAAGCUAAAUAUUGGCGAGAGACCGAUAGCGAACAAGUACCGUGAGGGAAAGAUGAAAAGAACUUUGAAAAGAGAGUUAAACAGUACGUGAAAUUGUCAAAAGGGAAGCGUUUGACACCAGUGUUGUUUUCUCGAAAAUCAAUUAAAAAAGACUGGAUUUUGUGUUGUAUUGACUUUAUCAGCUUUCUGCACUCUUUUCUUGUCUUUUUUAAUGCACUUUUCGUUUAACAAGUCAACAUCAAUUUCUUUUGUUGUAAAAGGGUCAUUGGAAGGUGGCUUUCUUUUCGGAGAAAGUGUUUAUAGCCUUUGACUUCUGCAAUCGGAGAGACUGAGGUCUGCAGCGUAGAUCCUUCGGGGUUAGAUACAUUUGUGCUAAGUUAUAGCCUUUCAUAGACAACUUGUUGACUAUGAUCAGUCAUGUAGCUUACUCGCUUAUGCUAUUUUACCUACGCUUAGGAUGUUGACUGAUAUGUAGUCGUA
rnacentral:rRNA from 1 species